rnacentral:tRNA from 3 species
GGGUCGUUAGCUCAAUUGGUAGAGCAGUUGACUUUUAAUCAAUUGGUCGCAGGUUCGAAUCCUGCACGACCCA